CCUUCGGGUUGUAAACCCCUUUCAGUAGGGAAGAAGCGAAAGUGACGGUACCUGCAGAAGAAGCGCCGGCUAACUACGUGCCAGCAGCCGCGGUAAUACGUAGGGCGCAAGCGUUGUCCGGAAUUAUUGGGCGUAAAGAGCUCGUAGGUGGCUUGUCGCGUCUGCCGUGAAAACCCGAGGCUCAACCUCGGGCGUGCGGUGGGUACGGGCAGGCUAGAGUGUGGUAGGGGAGACUGGAACUCCUGGUGUAGCGGUGAAAUGCGCAGAUAUCAGGAAGAACACCGAUGGCGAAGGCAGGUCUCUGGGCCAUUACUGACACUGAGGAGCGAAAGCAUGGGUAGCGAACAGGAUUAGAUACCCUGGUAGUCCAUGCCGUAAACGUUGGGCACUAGAUGUGGGGGACAUUCCACGUUUUCCGCGUCGUAGCUAACGCAUUAAGUGCCCCGCCUGGGGAGUACGGCCGCAAGGCUAAAACUCAAUGAAAUUGACG
rnacentral:rRNA from 1 species